rnacentral:lncRNA from 1 species
GGACAUCUCUGUCGAUCACUCCCGAGAAUCGAUAAUCUUAAGCUCUAAUACCAAUUGUUGAAAAUCUAGAACUCCCCCUAAUACUAGAUUUUGAGAAUUCAUAAUCCGCUCUUACCGACUGCUGUUGAUCUGAUACCAGUUGUUGGGAUUCCGUAAUGAAAAAUAUCAAAUCAGAUGUUUACCAUAAAUCUGUUUGCUCAACAAAAGCUGAUACAAUCACAAAAGAGAGAAAAAAUCAAACAGAAAAUAUGCGGAUAAAAUAAAAUUUAUUAAACAAGAUAAGAUUAUACAUGACUCCUCUUUUGCAGCAGAAUAAGCCAUCGUUUUUGAAUCUCUCCCUCUCUUCUCCCGUCUCCUAUAAACCCAAAAGACAACUCGAUCUCUAUAU